rnacentral:rRNA from 1 species
UACGGAAGGGGCUAGCGUUGUUCGGAAUCACUGGGCGUAAAGCGCGCGUAGGCGGCCGGUCAAGUGCGGCGUGAAAGUCCUGGGCUCAACCCGGGGACGGCGCUGCGGACUGUCCGGCUGGAGUCCGGAAGAGGGUGGUGGAAUUCCGAGUGUAGAGGUGAAAUUCGUAGAUAUUCGCAAGAACACCAGUGGCGAAGGCGGCUCACUGGCCCGAUACUAACGCUGAGGCACGAAAGCGUGGGGAGCAAACAGG